rnacentral:tRNA from 1 species
GCGGUGGUCGUCUAGCCUGGUUAGGACACCAGCCUGCCACGCUGGGAGUCGCGGGUUCGAAUCCCGCCCACCGCA